rnacentral:rRNA from 1 species
UGCAUAAUCUCAAAAAGCGGAGGAAAAGAAACUAACAAGGAUUCCCCUAGUACGGCGAGUGAGCGGGAAGAGCUCAAAUUUGAAAUCUAGUAGCCUUCGGCUGCUCGAGUUGUAAUCUAGAGAAGUGUUUUCCGUGCCGGCCCAUGUACAAGUCCCUUGGAACAGGGCGUCAUAGAGGGUGAGAAUCCCGUCCUUGACAUGGACCCCCGGUGCUCUGUGAUACACUUUCAACGAGUCGAGUUGUUUGGGAAUGCAGCUCAAAAUGGGUGGUGAAUUCCAUCUAAAGCUAAAUAUUGGCGAGAGACCGAUAGCGAACAAGUACCGUGAGGGAAAGAUGAAAAGCACUUUGGAAAGAGAGUUAAACAGUACGUGAAAUUGUUGAAAGGGAAACGAUUGAAGUCAGUCAUGCUCUUUGGUAUUUAUAUCAUUGAGUGGGGUCAACAUCAGUUUUGAUCGAUGGAUAAAGGCACUAGGAAGGUAGCACUCUCGGGUGAACUUAUAGCCUAGCGUCAUAUACAUUGAUUGGGACUGAGGAACGCAGCAUGCCUUUAUGGCCGGGAUUCGUCCACGUACAUGCUUAGGAUGUUGACAUAAUGGCUUUAAACGACCCGUCUUGAACCCACGGGACCA